UCUUUUGCUCUAUGCAUGAUAGCCGACUCUCAUCUCUUUUGCUCAAUCGAUUUCGCAUCUCUUUUAUUGCCCUCUCACGACUGUCGUUCAAUCGAGGACGACGUCGCUUUCAUCUCUAUCAGUCGUCUCUCUGUUUGUUGACUCUGCUCGUCGUGUCUCUUUUUGUUGUCUCUAUUUGUAGUCGUCUCUACAUGGCAACUCACCAUUGUCCAAUGUCUUACACUUGAAGCCUAAUGAUUCGAGAUAGAAAGCAAUGAAGAUGUAUUGUAGAAGGCUGACGAUAGAGAGAUAAAGGAAGAAUUGGCAGCCAGAGGAUUGCCGUUCCUGAAUCGGUUAUGGACAAGGAGUGAAUACAUAACAUAAAAGACUAGAUGAGUUGUGGACAAAAUGGCUGAACCAAGUGAGGAACUUUCAAAUGCUACUGCAAGUGUGCUUAAGCGAAUAUAUAUUCCUCCAACUUGUCCAAUGUCUUCUCCAUCGAAUAUCAAUAACAACAGUCAAAUUAAGUGCAAGUUAUUAGAUUGGAAUGGCUCGGGAGAGAUUGUUGCUGAAGGAAAAGAUGGUCUUUUAAUGAUCCAGCUGCUCUGGUUCAUCAUGUUCCUAUUGGUCCAUAUACGAUUAGAGUAUGAGUUUAUGUAGCAAAGAAACCGAAUGCAUAUUUGUUGAGGCCAACAUCAAAAAUGACAUGUAUCGAAGAAGCUUUAGGAAGUACAGUUGCAUGGCCAUCUAAUAGAGUGACCAUUGGUAUGUUAUCUAAAUCUAAUCUUUUUUGUCUACUUUUGUUAAAGAUUUUCUAUACUUGUUUAAUUAAUAUCCACUAUUAUUGGUGUCUACAUAAUUAUACAUUGAUAUAUGUUUUAUAAAUUUAUGUAGAUGAAUGAAAUGGAGUCUUAACCAGA